rnacentral:lncRNA from 1 species
CUCUCUGAGAGGAUUCUCGGCCCUGAACUUGAGAGCCUCACAACCCGGAAAAGAGUUUCAUUGGUGUUGGUUUUCAAAGGAUUGAGAAAGCUAUAUACUACUAAAAAUCUAGAUUUCAGUUUAAGUGGUAGCAUCUUCAUUCGGUGUAAGACAACCAAGAGACAGAGCGACUAUCCACAAAAUCCCUGGAGACCGACUUUCAACUUCAUGUUUUUUGCUGUUUCAAUUAAAAGCAUACACAAAAAAGGUGCUGAAAAAAACUCUCCACCAGAGCAAACCUCAGACAACACCGAAAGCUCAGUUAUCCAGCGAGUGUACAAAGGUGAAUUUAAUCAUCUCAGCUCACAAACACUUUCCUCUCAGGAGCAACACAUACCUCGAGCCUCAGCGAGACAUCAGAGACUUCAUGUCGUACUCUCCGUCGCCAAAGAUCACACGGUCCAAGCAGUUGUUUGUUCUGUUUCACCAGCUCCGUUUGUUCAGCUUUACAUCUGAGUCAACCCAAUUACAGCGAAUCACUAUACCUGUGGUCCUCUCGUCCACUAAAUGGCUGAGUUUUUCCUUCCCUGGUAAGAAAGAAACAGGAUCUAGAAACCUGUAAUCAUCUGCAAGUUAUGUAAGAAUCAUAAGCAAGAAAUUCUGCAGCUAUUACAGCGAUUAUGCAAGCGCUGGUCUCUUCACAUGAAUCUUAAUAUAUGCCGAUGUGUUUAUUAGGCUGUUGAAAUGUAAAUAUGGCAGACGCAGUAUUGAUGUUCAUGUUUGCCUCCAUGCAAAAACAGCCUUUUGGUUUGAUUCGAUCCUCUACGUCUCUCUUCUGCAGCAUGUCUGUGUUUCUUCAUUUAGUCCUCAAGUCUGUUUGGAUGAACUGAUUAUUUCUGAAGAAAUAAUUCUGUCCAGGUGUAUCUUGCUUUGUUUGUUUACCUCGCUUUUGCUUCGGCAUCGUGGUGCGGGUCUAGUGGUGCGAGUCUGUGCAUGAUGGCAUGCCCUCAUUUUUAAUGAACUGUGUAUCUUUUGUCUGGGUGCUGGCAACGUUUGAUGUUUGCUCAUAAAAAGGCAGACAGAGGGACAGACUCAGACAAAGAAACAACCUGUGACAGUUUUUGUCUUUUGGAAGAAUUACAGAAUCGUGUGCAUGGUAAAAAAGGCCAAAGAGUUAUAACAGGAGAAAAGCAGGGACAGCUCAUUUUGAGGAGACUUAAUCAUUGAUAAGAAUCUGACAGUGAGGCUCUGGCUGUGAGGGUAUCUAGAUUUGGCAUCUGUUCUGACCUCGUCUGGGGCUCGGGUCAUCUCUCAGUGAAUACUGUACAUCUCCUAAGGAUAGCAAAAUUAAGUUUUUUGAGGAGAAACUGGGUCAGUGCAGUUGCAGAUAGCAGAUGCAAUACAACAGCAACAGCAUUUUAGAGUGAUAGAGAACCAAUUUGCAUUCUUAAAUAUCUUUAAAGUCCCACUACAAUUGUAUUUUUUACUACUUAAGAUGUUAUCAGUGGUGAUUCAGAAGUUUUUCGCCAAAAUCACGUUACCUGUCAUUUUUAAGGACUUUUCUUCUGCAGAGCUCCAGUAGAUCAUUAGAUAUUCACCAUUGAGAUGUGGGCGGAGACAGCACUGUUGUGCACUCUUCUCUUCACGCUAGCUUGUAGCCUAACAUUGCCGGUGUUGUAGAAGUAGCAGGUAACACAGGAGCUAUUCAGCUCUCAGACACUAAUGUCUUUGGAGACAUAAUAAACGCUAAUAUCAUAGGGUUAUCUUAUGUCCGGCCUUGUCCGGCCUUUAUCCAGCGAAGUUUAUAAAAUCCUUUACAUAUCCAGGUUUUUGUAUGGAAGUUUCGAGUUUGUGUCGUGUGGACUUACUGAGUUAGUAGCGCGUAAAAGACACUCGAUCCAACCUUAAUAACUCUCAGAAUUAACUACGCGCAACUAUGUGACUCCGCUCCCGUGUAGCCAUGUCCUCUUUUCUGGGGAUUCAGAAUAUGGUCACCCUAUAAUAUCACAAUUAGCUUUUUCACGAGCAUUGCAAUCCGUUAAAGCACAUGCUUGUUCCGCAAUCGUCUUCUCUACUUCUCUGAGUCUGGCCUGCAUAGAGGGCGGAGCUUGGAUUUGUGACAUAGGAAAUCUCACUGUUUCUGAACCUGCUGUUUGGGUCUGUCACAGCGAUUUGAAUUCAGAAAUACUCAGAAAUGCAAUUUCACUCUUACGUUUCUCAUGAUAUGUCCUGCAGCAUCAGAAAAAUGCCAUAUGAACAUGUAGACAACAAGAAAAACAUGAUUUUCAUCAGAGUGGGUCUUUAAAUGUUUUAAGCAAUCACAGUUUCGGAUCUAUACACCUGACUUGUCCAAGGUUUCCAAAUCCUUCCUGCACAGUUUUAGCUAAAUGCACAGACACAAUGACACUGAUGUAUUUCUUUCACAUACCUGACCAAUAUUAGACAAUGUAAACACAGAUUUUCUCCAUUUAACUGAGUUUCUGUCAUGAAUGCUCAGUCACAUUUAUUCAGUCUUGUCUCCACACGGAGUUAAGGCUUAAAGUUAUAAAGACACGGUGCCUCUUUAUGUCCUUGUUCGUUUUUCUGAUAUGCUAAUGUAUGCAGAUUAAGGGUCCAUUAGCAUCUUUGUCCCAGGAGAUGUCUGCAUGUACUGAUUGUAUUUCUGGGGCCAAAAAAAAAAAAAAAAAAAAAAUCAUAUAGCCCAGCCAAGUUUCUCCCGUCUGGUAAAUUGUUCCAUUAGCUUUCCCCCGCAAAAUAAUUCUAGGCUUUCCAAAUAACCAGACAGCCUAUUCUCCAGCGAUAUCAAUAAUUAUUACUAGUUUCCGACAACACAAUUACAUGUUGGAAAGAUAUGCCUCGUAAGCGUGCAGUACUUUGGAAUACAGUUUGCAAGAGAACCUAUUUUCUCUGUGUGUGAGUGAAAAACAGGAAUCAACUCUUUAAAAUUUUCUUUUUCUAACCACUGGUUUGUAAAAAAAAAAAAAAAAAGCGUCCUUUAGAAGAAAUCCCUCUGCAUGAUGGUACAUCCCUUCAAAAGUCUGCAAACACCUAACAUUCAUCUCACAGAAAAGACCGACUUCACAACAGAUGUGUGUAAAAGGUGAAAUCGUCUGGAGCAGCUGUGUUUGAUACUGGUUCAUUGACCAUACAAAGACGAAUGAUAAACAGCUGUGUUACAAGCAGCAGUCACAUUCUCAGGAGGUGCAUUUUUAUUUUCAUGCAGUAUCCAUCCUCCAUUCUCUCUAGUCUGUGCACACUUCUAACAAUCAGAGUUCCCACAGUUUUGCAUUUUACCCCACUUCAACUACUCCGACUAUAACAUUUAAUGACAAAAACCUGCUACGAUAAAAUCACGUUGAUAAAAGUCACAGAAAAAGAUUUGUAUCUUUGCAGUUCAGUUCACCUCGAGGUGUGAAGAAUACAAGGAGCGGUACAAGGUUUUUAAUUAACAUGCACAGCAAGAUAAUUAUUGACUAAUCAAUUAAUCUUUAUCCCAAACCAGUAAAUCUGUCAAACGCUUGAUCAAAUACAACCUCAAACCAACAGCGUCCACUCCAAAACAUGAGGGCGCAUUAAUGCGCUCUAUUGACAUUAACGCAGGCCUGCCAAUCUGCAUACAAAUGGAGCUAAAUUAAAGCAGCCUCAGUCAAGGCCUACCAGCAGCAUCUAAAUGAAAUAUCUAUACGGGAAGCACAACAAGUCCGAAACAAUUACAAAAAUGUCUUUGCAAUAACGGCUCAUACCUCUGUGGAGGAAAAGUAGAACUGGGCGUCCACCUUAGAUUGGUGUGUACGAGCACUAUCUAAAGUAAAGAUUAUCUUUUUCAUUUAAUAUAAAGUGUGUCUACCGCUCCCAUCCUAUCAGUCUGGACAAAUGUCAUUAGUAUGAGUGUAGUCCUCUGUGACCUUUUCAGAUUGUAUUAUGAUAGCGAACACAGUGAGAAGGUCAACCAGUGUCUGCUCCACACUGAGAAGGAGCGGCACAUUGUGAGCCGCUCUGAUUUAGAUAUUACAGGACAGGUUGAAGAAACUGUUAAUGGACAUCACAGGCGCAUCGGUUUGUUAGCCACAGCUGAACUUUUGACCCGUUAAACCCUAAUUAAAAUGUCAUGGAUGUCAUGGAGAUUUUGUUUUCCACUGUUUGGUUUGAACUCUUGAAAACCUGAAAAACAAAAACUUCUUCGAAACACAACAAACGAUCAAAACUGUUUUGUUUUUGCCAAACAGGGAUGAGUCAAACAUUGUGAGUAGGUUGUUACUACCGUGAUCGCAGGGUUGCCCGGUGCAUGAUAAUUAACGUAUUUGUAUGAUAAUUUUGCCCUCUGUACGAUGUACGAACAGUAACCCAGAAAAAGGCUAAAUGUACGAUAAUUUGACAGUUUCGUGAACGUGUGGUGCAGUAGGAUUCUCUCAGUCUGCCAGACACUUUAUUUUUUAGUUUUUUAUUCGUGAACCCUGAAGGCAUCUUUUACCACGUGAAGAUUCCAUCCAGUCGUAGUUUGAGCGAUGUUUGUCUCCGAACAACAAGCAUGAUUGGCUGUCAAUCACGCUCAGUCGGUUAGUCAGUCGAUAAAAAUGAGCGCUGCUGAAGAAGACGGUGAUUACCGGAAGUCAGAUUACUUCCUUGUCAGUUAUUAUGAACACUGUUUCAAAAAAGUAGGUGACCUUAAGGUCUCUUGAUUUGGGUGAUUAGUUCCCAGCUGUCAUUUGUUAAAAGGGGACGCAUUAGCGUAACACAGCUGAGUUGGAGCUGCUGAUGUGGGGCGGGGUGGCGAAUGACCACAAAAUCGUGAGUGUCUGAGUGACUAUAUGUGACUAUCAUACAACAGUAAGAUUGUUGUUUUUGUUAUGAUGGAUGUACAAUAAUUUCACCCAAAACAUGAUAAUUUUGAGUCUCUGGUACGAUAAUUCUACAUUUCCCAUCUGGCAACACUAAAAUAUUUCAGUAUUGUAUAUUGUAUUUCGUGUUUUUUUCUGGCCUAGCUGUGUCUGGUGUGUGUGGCGUGAGUUUGUCGCCUAUUAUGUAUAUAAAUUAGAUGUGCCAUAUCAUGCUCCUGAUUGGCUGCUCC